rnacentral:rRNA from 1 species
AACGUAGGACGCAAGCGUUAUCCGGAGUUACUGGGCGUAAAGCGCGGGCAGGCGGCUCGUCAAGUGGAUUGUGAAAGCACCCGGCUUAACCGGGUGAGGCCAGUCCAGACUGAUGAGCUGGAGGGCAGUAGAGGUAGGCGGAAUUCCGGGUGGAGUGGUGAAAUGCGUAGAGAUCCGGAGGAACACCAGAGGCGAAGGCGGCCUACUGGGCUGCACCUGACGCUGAGCCGCGAAAGCCAGGGGAGCGAACGGG